UGCAUUGCAUUUUUUGCUCUAUCUCUGUCUCUCUCAGCAAACCUUCCACUCGAAGAUCGGAACAGUCUCCCCCUUCUCAAGUUCUCUCUCUCUGCUGUGCUUCCCUCCGUCAUCAGGCCACACGCUGCUCCGGGGAGAGGAGGCGAGAACAUGGCGGCAGCGUCGUCGGCCGACGUCGUCCUCCACAACGCGUUUGUCGUCACCAUGGACAGCGCCGACGCGGUCCUCCGGGACGGCGCCGUCGCAGUCAUGGGCGACCGCAUCGCCGCCGUGGGCCCUUCGGCGGACGUCCUCGCGGCCUUCCCCCGCGCCGCGCAGACUCUCGACCUCGCCGGCCGUAUCCUCAUCCCCGGGUUCGUCAACACGCACGUGCACACGUCGCAGCAGCUGGCGCGGGGGAUCGCCGACGACGUCGACCUGAUGACUUGGCUGCACGGGAGGAUCUGGCCCUACGAGUCCCACAUGACCGAGGAGGACUCCUACGCCUCCACCCUCCUCUGCUGCAUCGAGCUCAUCCGGUCUGGGGUAACAUGCUUUGCAGAAGCAGGUGGGCAGUAUGUCUCGGAAAUGGCACGGGCAGUGGAACUGCUGGGUUUGCGUGCAUGCUUGACAAAGUCAACAAUGGAUUGUGGCGACGGGUUGCCUCCCAAUUGGAGUUCCUGUUCCACUGAUGACUGCAUUCAGUCACAGAAGGAUCUGUAUGCAAAGCAUCAUAACACUGCUGAUGGGCGUAUCAGGAUAUGGUUUGGGUUGAGACAGAUCAUGAAUGCGACAGAUCGUUUACUGCUUGAAACAAGAGAUGUUGCACAGGAACUGAAUACUGGAAUCCAUAUGCAUAUUGCUGAAAUACCACAUGAAAAUCAACUUGUAAUGCGGACCAAGGGAAUUGAUCAUGGGACAGUUACAUAUUUAGAGAAAAUAGAUUUUCUGAGGAGUAAUUUACUGGCUGCCCACUCUGUUUGGUUGAAUGAGCCUGAGAUAAACCAUUUUUCAAAGGCUGGUGUCAAGGUUUCGCAUUGCCCAGCAUCUGCCAUGCGGUUGUUGGGGUUUGCUCCUAUUCGAGAAAUGCUGGAUUCUGGUGUUUGUGUCUCUCUUGGAACAGAUGGAGCACCGAGCAAUAAUAGAAUGAGCAUUGUUGAUGAGAUGUACCUAGCCUCCCUUAUUAACAAAGGGCGUGAGGUGUACAUCGGUGGUACAACAAACCCGACCGCUCUUCCUUCUGAGACUGUUCUGAAGAUGGCUACCAUUAAUGGUGCGAAAGCUGUUCUGUGGGAUGAUGAAAUAGGAUCGCUGGAGGUUGGGAAAAAGGCAGACUUGGUUGUGGUGAAUCCAUUUAAAUGGUCCAUGCUCCCGUUACAUGACACCAUUGCCAACAUUGUUUAUUGCAUGCGGACAGAAAAUAUUGAAUCUGUCAUGUGCAAUGGUAAAUGGAUUAUGAAGGAUCAGAAGAUUAUGAAUUUCAGUGAGACAGACGGUCCCUUCUCAUCUGAAAAAACCCUCAGUGACACAAUUUUACGCUGACACCAGAUUUUGUGUCAAUUCCUCGGCAUAACACCAACGGGUUGGACAAGAAAUAAUUUAUAAAAAUCAAUGUUUCAACAUACAUGCACUGGAAUAACUACAAAUUGAAUGGAAAUGGAUGAGAUAAUAUCUUCGGCAGUAGAAAGAGCAACCGACCUUCUAGUGCGAGCUGGCAUCAACCUCCCCAAGCGGAUGAACCACUUGUGAAUUGUGAUAUCUGCCUUGCUAUUUCUUCAAGCAUAACCUCUCCUGCUGCUGAGGAUUAGACUGGCAGAUGUACGCAGGACAAUUUCUGUUCCGUUUGUCUGUCAGUGUUGCCGCUGUUUGUAUGGUGUUGCCAUGCUUACAAGACCUCCUUGGAAGCAAGAGUUACAGGUUAUCCGAGUUCCGAAAUAAAAGUUACCAUCAAGGUAGGUCGAUUGGAACAGCCACCACGUUUAUGCUUUAAGCUGGUAACUACCUCCGAUCCUAAAUUUUUGUCUCAAAUCCCAAAUAUGGACGUAUCUAUUCUUAAAGGUGUCUAGAUACAUGUAAUACUUUGACAACAAUUUAGGAUCGGAGGCAGUAAUUAUUUGGAGAAGAAUUGAAGCAACGGUUUAGAA